UUUGGUUUGGUUUGGUUUAACCAACUUGACACCCCUAUAUAUAACACGAGAGGAAUACAGGGGUGGAAUACAUUUUUGGGAUGCGAUUUUUGAAAUCCAAAAGCCGGCAGAAAAUAAAGAAAUCCCCGGAAGCUAAAGCCCGAUACUCGGGAAACACAAGAAAAUAUACUAAAGUCGAGAAGUAAAACUUUCUAUAAAUCACCAGGAAAGUCGGAGGAGAACAAUAAUCGCGGAAUUAAGAGCUCAAAGGUCGCGGACAAGAGGACCUACAACCGCAAAUGGAGAAGAGCCAAGGAUAGAGGAAACCGCGAAGACAUAACCCAACUAAAAACGAUUAUUCCGAACAUAAGAAGCAACGUCGUGAAUCUAAAUCCUAACCACCUAGUCUUCUAACGAACAAGUCUAAAUCUAGAACUUUGCAUUCCCACAAAAGGUUAGCCUUACAAGAACAGAAAGUAACAGACCACGAUAGAAAAACUACUUAUUAAACUAAACUAGAGGCGGUGGAAGGAGACAGACUUAAAAGAUUCAACGAACAAAUAGGAGAUAAUUCGAAAGCUAUCCAAAAUCAGCCACUACGACCAAUCCCCGGAGCUUUCUAGUGAUAACAGAGAGCAUAACAGAGAGCAGAACCAAGACCCAGCAAUUCAAAUAUUAAACCACCAGAACCUACCAACAACAACAAACCCAAAGCCAAAAAAUAAACAAACAUCUAAAAACAACCGAGAAUAGAAAGGCCUCGCAACAAGGGUUUGGUCAAAAAACCAAGGAGCCGCCGGAUGAGAAGAGGAGAAACGAGAGAACAGAGACCAAAGAUACCUAAGCUUCUGCACAAGAACGACGAAAAGGAGAAGUAGAUCUAUGAAUUGAUUUGAAGACCAAGCUCUAAUGCCACCGGAAGUCCCGUCGCACAUCUUCAGUUUCAAUAGAUCCGACCAAACCAGCACCACCGCUCACAGAUCUUGCUCUCCACAUGCCUCCAACUCUUCCACGCCGGAAAACAACUCACCCACACACGAGACGAUUUACCAUCACAGUAACAAGAAGCAAAAGGAGAAAAAGCUAAAUGGAUCUAAGUCGACUCCGGUGCUGUGUAAGCCACCGGAGCCGAACACGGCGGCCAGACCUAGUUUUGUUUUUUAGAGAGAAGUUCGAGAAAAGAGGAGAGAGGGGAGACCUUUUUUGUGCUCAUAUGAACAAAUGUUCGUAAUGUAUCUUCUUCU
rnacentral:lncRNA from 1 species